CUGCUGGAAACGGCAGCUAAAACUGGAUAGGUUAUAUUGGGGCAUCCUGAUAUAAUUAAAAGUCCUUUACGGGAAUGCUUAAAGAUGAUCUGCGUCGCAUUAGCUAGUUGGUGAGGUAGCGGCUCACCAAGGCGACGAUGCGUAGCUGUGCUGAGAGGCAAAACAGCCACACUGGGACUGAGACACGGCCCAGACUCCUACGGGAGGCAGCAGUAGGGAAUUUUCGGCAAUGGGGGAAACCCUGACCGAGCAAUGCCGCGUGAAUGAAGAAGGUCUUCGGACUGUAAAAUUCUGUUAUUUGUGGAAGAAAGGUAGUUGGAGGAAAUGCCAAUUACUUGACGGUACCAAAUGAGAAAGCCCCGGCUAACUAUGUGCCAGCAGCCGCGGUAAUACAUAGGGGGCGAGCGUUAUCCGGAAUUAUUGGGCGUAAAGCGUGCGUAGGUGGUCAGUUAAGUCUGGCGUGAAAUUCCCUGGCUUAACCAGGGGGGGUCGUUGGAAACUGGCUGACUUGAAUCCAGAAGGGGUAAGUGGAAUUCCAUGUGUAGCGGUAAAAUGCAUAGAGAUAUGGAGGAACACCAGUGGCGAAGGCGGCUUACUGGUCUGGGAUUGACACUGAGGCACGAAAGCGUGGGUAGCAAACAGGAUUAGAUACCCUGGUAGUCCACGCCGUAAACGAUGAGCACUAAGUGUCGGACGAAAGUUCGGUGCUGUAGUUAACGCAUUAAGUGCUCCGCCUGGGGAGUACGGUCGCAAGACUGAAACUCAAAUGAAUUGACGG
rnacentral:rRNA from 1 species